rnacentral:rRNA from 1 species
AUUGAACGCUGGCGGCAGGCCUAACACAUGCAAGUCGAGCGAGCGGCGGACGGGUGUGUAAUGUGUGGGACUCCGCCUGGUGGAGGGGGAUCACCUCUGGAAAGUGUCGCAAAUACCGCAUACCCACAGAUGAACCCAUAUGGGAUUAGCUAGUAGGUGGGGUAACGGCGCACCUAGGCGACGAUCCCUAGCGGGUCUGAGAGGAUGACCAGCCACACUGGGACUGAGACACGGCCCAGACUCCUACGGGAGGCAGCAGUGGGGAAUAUUGCACAAUGGGCGCAAGCCUGAUGCAGCCAUGCCGCGUGUGUGAAGAAGGCCUUCGGGUUGUAAAGCACUUUCAGCGGGGAGGCGUUACCGGCAGAAGAAGCACCGGCUAACUCCGUGCCAGCAGCCGCGGUAAUUC